GCCCGGUUGGCACAAUUGGUCAGCGCGUGAGACUUUUAUGAUAUCUCCCGUUUGGGAGUCAUAAUAGUGAUCUCAAGGUUACGAGUUCGAGCCUCGUAUCGGGCG
rnacentral:tRNA from 1 species